UAGAAAGUAGUUUAACUGGAAAAACAUAGAAAUUUGAAUUCUUUAUCAUAAGUUCAAACCUUAUCUUUCUAA
rnacentral:tRNA from 1 species